rnacentral:rRNA from 1 species
UGAGGGGUGCAAGCGUUAAUCGGAAUUACUGGGCGUAAAGCGAGUGUAGGCGGCUACUUAAGUCGGGAUGUGAAAUCCCCGGGCUCAACCUGGGAAUUGCAUUCGAAACUGAGUGGCUAGAGUUUGGUAGAGGUAAGUGGAAUUCCGGGUGUAGCGGUGAAAUGCGUAGAUAUCCGGAGGAACAUCAGUGGCGAAGGCGGCUUACUGGACCAAAACUGACGCUGAGGCUCGAAAGCGUGGGGAGCAAACAGGAUUAGAUACCCUGGUAGUCCACGCCCUAAACGAUGUCAACUAGACGUUGGGUUCAUUAAGGAACUUAGUGUCGAAGCUAACGCGUUAAGUUGACCGCCUGGGGAGUACGGCCGCAAGGUUG